rnacentral:snoRNA from 12 species
UGGCUAUAGCCAAAUCAAAUCGAGGAGAAGCUAACUGGCCGGUUGUUGCGAGUUUCGUCAACAAAUCUGCUUACCGAGCUUCUCACAUUU